CCACUCUUAGUGUAAUGGAUAUCACGCAAGAUUCCGGUUCUUGAAAUAAGGGUUCGAUUCCCCUAGAGUGGACUA
rnacentral:tRNA from 1 species